UAAUACGGAGGGUGCGAGCGUUAAUCGGAAUUACUGGGCGUAAAGCGCAUGCAGGUGGUUAGUUAAGUCAGAUGUGAAAGCCCGGGGCUCAACCUCGGAACAGCAUUUGAAACUGGCUGACUAGAGUACUGUAGAGGGGGGUAGAAUUUCAGGUGUAGCGGUGAAAUGCGUAGAGAUCUGAAGGAAUACCAGUGGCGAAGGCGGCCCCCUGGACAGAUACUGACACUCAGAUGCGAAAGCGUGGGGAGCAAACAGGAUUAGAUACCCUGGUAGUCCACGCCGUAAACGAUGUCUACUUGGAGGUUGUGGCCUUGAGCCGUGGCUUUCGGAGCUAACGCGUUAAGUAGACCGCCUGGGGAGUACGGUCGCAAGAUUA
rnacentral:rRNA from 1 species